CUGCAGAAUAAGGAUCAGAACUUUACAGAGGUAAACUGUGUCUGUUCUUUUUACUAUUACAGCAGUUCAUCGUGGCCCUGUCAUUCAACUCCUUCACCAAAGCUGUCAGGGACCUACAUGAAGAGUGCCAUCACUCAGAGAGACACUUUGACCUGUCCAGCUCUCUUAUCGGACUCAUAGACGGCAGCUUUGAGAUGGGUAACCUGCUGUUCCUGGCUGUGGUCAGCCAUUUUGGGGCGAAGCUGCACCGGCUCAGGCUCCCCGUGUCCUUAUUCAGAUAAUCACCCCAGUUGGCCUUUUUCUCUUCAUCUAGUGUGCGCAACAUUGACAACAGUGUACAGUUAAAUCUCGGAACUGGUGGUACCGGACUGGAGACCCGCACCUCAAGGCUAGUGCGGGGAGCAGGAACAGGGCACACUGAGUUCUCAAGGCGCAUUAUAGGACUGGUGCGUGGUACCGGGACUGGUGGUACCGGGCUGAGGGCAAGCACCUCAGGACGAGUGCGGGGAGAAAUAUAAGUGCGUACUGGGCUCUGGAGACGCACAUGAGGCCUGGUGCCGGAACUGGAGGCACUGGGCUGGAUACACGCACCACAGGGAGAGUGCGUGGAGGAGGAACAGGGCUCUGGAGAGGCACAGGAGGCUUAGUGCGUGGUGUCAGCACUGGUGGUACUGGACUGGGGACACGCACCACAUGGCUAGUGCGAGGAGCAGUAACAGGACGCACAGGACUCUGGAGACGCACAGGAGGCUUUGUGCGUGCUGUAGGCACUGUCUUAACCAGACGGCUAGCACGCACCUGUCCUGGUUCUUUGGCCGCUGCUGCUGGUUCCUCUCAUGCUGCUUGAUCCAUGGUUGGUGGGGUGUUCUGUCACGAUCGUCUUCGUGAGAGAGAGAGGACCAAGGCGCAGCGUGUGCAAAAUACAUCUCUUUAUUUUGGAAGAGAGAAAAACACGAAAACGAACAGUACACAAACUAACAAAACAACAAACGACCGUGAAGCUAAAUAACGUAAGUGCACAGACAAGCAACAAACGUUCAACAUAGACAACACCCCACAAAAGCCUACUGCCUUUGGCUGCCUUAAAUAUGGCUCCCAAUCAGAGACAAUGAAUGACAGCUGUCUCUGAUUGAGAACCAAUCCAGGCAGCCAUAGACAUAACUAGACAACCUUACUCUACUCUUCCCCAUACACAUACAACACCCCUAGACACUACAAAACACAUACAUUCCCCAUGUCACACCCUGACCUAACUAAAAAACAUAAAGAAAACAAAGAAUACUAAGGCCAGGGCGUGACAAUUUCAGUGUGUAAGUACUUGUAAAUCAGUGUUCUAUACUGACUUGGUACCUCAACUUGUUUCCUUUCUGCUGUUUUCUUUGUAAUAAUCCAUCUGGUGAGACAUGGAGCCUGUUCCACUCUUGCAGUAACUGUUUGACUUUGUAUGACUCUUGUUGACAUUCUGUUGGUUUAGGCUUAGUGCCGCUUAGUCCUUUGACUUUUCAGUUCCAAGAUUCUCGAUACAGGCGCAUCAUUUAACUGAGCCUGCAUGAUAUCGUGUGGAGACAGUCGGUCUGUAACUUUUCCACCCCACCAUGACAGCUCAUCUUGCACUGAUGGCCUUGGUGUGACCGUGGAUAUCCACGUUACACAGUCAUUCUGUUUUGUGAACAUUAUUGAGUGUUGCUUUUACCAUUUCAAGUGAGUGUUUCUCAGUGCAUUCUUCCAUGUAAUGUUCAGCAUGCAAAGGAGAGCGUGACAGAAAGUCUGCGUCAUUGUUUACCUUUCCAGGACGAUACUUCAGUGUGAGAUUAAAGUCAGACAGCUCUGCCACCCAGCGAUGACCGGUGGCAUUCAGUCUUGCUGUAGUUAGUACAUAUGUCAAAGGGUUAUUAUCACUGUACACUGUCACAGAGGGAGCAUAAAAUAGGUAAUCUCGGAACCGCUCAGUCACUGCCCAUUUGAGGGCCAAGAAUUUCAGUUUCCCUGAGUGAAGGUGAUAGUUUCUCUCUGCUUGAGUCAGGAUGCGGGAGCCAUAUCCAAUGACUCUGUUUGCCACUUUGUCGUUGGUAUACCACCCCUCCCAAUCGCUCUUCAGAGGCAUCAACAUGCAGGAUAAAAGGGUCCUUGAAAUCUGGGUAAGCAAGCACAGGUGGAUUAGUCAACACACUCACCAAGUGUUCUAAUGCUCUCUGGUGAGCAUCCUCCCAUAUAACUUUCUGGUGGGGCAGAGCCUGUCCCGACUGCACAGCUGCCUUGGUCCUUCGCUUCCCGAAUGCUGGGGUCUUCGUCUUCACUGCUAGUAAGUCAUAGAGACAUUUAGCAUGUUGUGAAAAGUUCUGUACAUAACCCCUAUAGUACCCUAGAAACCCCAGUAGUUUCCUCAGCUCUCUCACAUUUGUUGGUGGCCUGUUUACCAGUUCUUGCACUGCUACAAUUUCUUUAACAUCCAUUCUGUAACCCUCAGCAAAAAUAAUUUUUCCUAAAUAACAGACGUCAUUCUUGAUUAGGUCACACUUAUUUGAGUUUAAUACCCCAUUUAUUUUGCUGCCUAAGUACCUGACGGACAUCUUCCACAUGUUGUUCAAAUGACUGACUAAAAAUAAGAACGUCAGAAUCUGUAUACCAUAUUUGGAUAUCUCUUAUCCCCUCUAAACUUUCCUCCAUGCUUCGUUGGAAGGCACUAUAUGAACAACUUCUCGUUCAUCAUCACCAACAAACGACUAAGUCAUGUCGAACCUUGAAAACAUGAGAGAGCGCUUUUUAAGUUUUGCCAGCCAAUUGCAACCACCUUUACAACCACCCGAGGAGGAUCGGGUGGUUCAAAGGUAGGAUUCAUUCUGGUAGGUUAGGUAAUACCUGGCAAAAGUCAACAUUAACCGGCACAACUACCUAGUAAUGUUAGCUUGCUAAUGAUUGCAACAGCUACCGUAGGGUGUGCGAGUAUGGGCAGCGUCGAUUAUGCUGAGUGUCAUUAUUGUAACUUUUAUAACGUUUGCACAUGUCAGAUUUCAAUCGUUCAGGAGACGGAAUAAUGCUGGAGUCCAAAGGCGGCAAACCGGGAGAAGCAGGUUGAUAACUAUGAGGGUUUGCCUGAUCGCUGACCCUACCAUCCGACAGCUGAACAGGAUAGGUACAUUUCCCCUAUAUCCAUGUAGUACAUGAGGACACAGUGCUUGCUUUGUAGUUUAUUUUACUGAUUUAAAGAUCAUGGACUAUUUCCCUGUUUUAUAUUAGGAUACGUUUUAUUGCACUUAUUUUAAAUAUACAUACUUUCUUUAAACCAUAGCAGGUUCAAAUAUCGUCUCAACUCUCUUGGGCUGCUUGAAGCAUUUGGGAACCACCCGGACAGCUUCCGAGCGCUUUUUAUGGACUCCAUAAAUCCUCCCACUGCCAGGGACCUGUUCAAAGUAACCUAUUCAAACCUGGCAGCAACCGGCGGUGUUUGGAGAACAAUUUAAAUAUGUAUUUUAAAUGUUUUACUGUAUACUCCUCAGAUGGAGAAUGUCCUCUAACAGUGGCGAUGGUGUUGGAGUUUGUUACUGGGGCAACGGUGGUGCCACCCCUUGGGUUUGAGGACACCCCGACCAUCGAAUUCCUCCACACAGCGCGAGGGCAUCUCGCUGGGCAGCAGAAGAAAAAGUACCCAGAGGCAAACACGUGUGCUGUGACACUAAGGCUCCCUCUUCAUAGCACCUACAAUGCCUUUAAGGAAUUCAUGACCUCCGGUAUUGUGAAUUCCCCACAUUUCGGUGUUGCAUUAAAACGUUUUUAUGAUACAUAAUUGUAUCUAGUAGCACUAAACUACAGUAGCAAUUGAGUGUUUGAAAAUGUAACUGCACAUCAACAUUUAAGCAUUUAUCUACUUACAUCUGUAUUGUUUGUACAGUGCAUUCGGGAACGUAUUCAGACCCCUUGACUUUUUCCACAUUUUAUUACGUUACAGCCUUCUUCAAAAAUGGAUACAAUAAUUUUUUCCCCUCCUCAAUCUACACACAAUAACCCAUAAUGACAAAGCAAAAACAAGUUGACAUUUUUGCAAAUGUAUUUAAAAAAAAAAAAAAAAAAAAAAAAAGGAAACAUUACAUUUAUGACCCUUUACUCAGUACUUUGCUGAAGCACCUUUGGCAGCGAUUGCACCAUCGAGUCUUCUUGGGUAUGAAGCUACAUUUUUAUUUAUUUAAUACAUUUUAGAAUAACGCUCGAAUGUAACAAAAUGUGGAAAAAGUCAAGGGGUCUGAAUAGUUUCCUAAUGCACUGUAUUUCCACAUUGGCUGUUAUUCACUUAAUGAUCAUUAAUAUUAAAUUAUACAGUCCAUA